GACAAGGUGGCCGAGUGGUUAAGGCGAUGGAUUGCUAAUCCAUUGUGCUCUGCACGCAUGGGUUCAAAUCCCAUUCAGUCGUGCUUGUUU